GCGGCAUAUAACCAUUAUGCCAACAUCCUUGACAAAAGUCGCAGUCCUCAGUCCCGGCUGGCCGUAUUCCCGCAGGCUAUAACACUUACCGAGGUAAGCUACAUUCCUACGGAUUUGUCCGACCACCAAAACUGAUGUUGGCCCAGUGAGCUGCGAGAGUCCCCCACCCACAAGGAGCAGAGGGCGCAAAACACCAUGUCUGAUCAAAUGCCCUUCCCUUUCAACAAUUUCACGUACUUUUUCACUCUCUUUUCAAAGUUCUUUUCAUCUUUCCAUCACUGUACUUGUUCGCUAUCGGUCUCUCGCCAAUAUUUAGCUUUAGAUGGAAUUUACCACCCACUUAGAGCUGCAUUCCCAAACAACUCGACUCUUCGAAGGCACUUUACAUAGAACCGCACUCCUCGCCACACGGGAUUCUCACCCUCUAUGACGUCCUGUUCCAAGGAACAUAGACAAGGAACGGCCCCAAAGUAUCCCUCUACAAAUUACAACUCGAGCACCGAAGGUACUAGAUUUCAAAUUUGAGCUUUUGCCGCUUCACUCGCCGUUACUAAGGCAAUCCCGGUUGGUUU
rnacentral:rRNA from 1 species